AUCCAGACGCCUAGUCCCAAAUAGGACGAAAUGCGCAUCCUGGAU
rnacentral:hammerhead_ribozyme from 1 species